rnacentral:lncRNA from 1 species
UGUAUAGAGGCGAAAUGUUCGAAUCUUUAUUCUUUUGGAAAGAAGAAAGAAUCACAAAGUUGUUGAGGUUAUUUCACUUAGAUGUUAGUGGCACUUGUCCACAAACAUAAUACUACUCAUGUUGGAUAACAUUCACCGAAGAUCACUCUCGGUUGGACUAUAGUUUAUUUUUGAAUAAACACAAGUCCGAAUACUUUGCAAAAUGUUUCAAAGAAUUCAAGAAAUGUAAGUUGAUGAGUAAGACGUCUAAAGUAUUUACAUCCUCAGAUUUGAUCCAAGGAAUGGUAACACUUUAGAAUAGUUUUCUUGAAAGAUAUCAAGGAAAGAAGCAUCAUAAGA